GUGCUGUUCGGCUUAUGACGGGUGACAUUCUGAUACACUCAUCCUGAGUUGAAAAAUAUCCGAAUCCAAAAUGUGCAUUUCUUUUUUUUUUUUUGUUUUUUGUUUUUUUUUUUUUUGAGACGGAGUCUCGCUCUGUCGCCCAGGCUGGAGUGCAGUGGCGAUCUUGGCUGCUAGCUCGCUUCUCGGUUCACGCCAUUCUCCUGCCUCAGCCUCCUGAGCAGCUGGGACUACAGGCACCCGCCACGGUGCCCGGCUAAUUUUUUUGUAUUUUUAAUAGAGACGGGGGUUUCACUGUGGUCUCGAUCUCCUGACCUUGUGAUCCGCCCGCUCGGCCUCCCAAAGUGCUGGGAUUACAGGCGUGAGCCACCAGCGCCCGGCCAAAAUGUGCAUUUCUACAAAAAACCAUUAUCCAGACGUGGUGUUCUCUGCCUGUGGUCCCAGCAGCUUGGGAGGCCGUGCGAUGGAUCACCUGAGGUCAGGAGUUCGAGACCGGUCUGGCCAACAUGGUGAAACCCCAUCUCUAUGAAAAAUACAAAAGUUAGCCGGCUGUGGUGGCAGGUGCCUCAAUCCCAGCUACUCGGGAGGCUGAGGCAGGAGAAUCGCUUGAACCCGGGAGGCGGAGAUUGCAGUGAGCCGAGAUCCACUGCACUCCAGCCUGGGCGACAACGAGACUCUGUCUAAAAAUAAAAAUAAAAAAUCAAUGCUCUGUGAAAAUAGAGCUGGGGGACCACGGACCCGCUGGGCACAGAGUCUCAAGCCUCUUAGAGGAAGAUAGAAAAGGGUUUUUCUUUUAGAUCCGCGAGAUUUAAAUAAGAAUGGAGAGAGCACCCAGGAAAGCACAGCUGUGGCUCUGCCGCUCUGCAAAGCCAGCUGGGCAGCCCCGCCAGGAAUUCCGAGGGCCGAAAGGGGCCGUGUCCGCUCCCCCAUCCUGGAAAUAGUCUCAGAGUCUGGGUGGGCGCCGGGGACGAGCUUUCAACAGCUCUCCUGGCCCCAACAUUCCGUCCACACAUUCCACGACCAGGACAGCCGCCCCCUGCCAGGGAUUCACCGGGGGUCACGCCGCGCGGCAGGAAUGCACGCGCCCGAUUUAGACAUCCCGCUUGGCAUCUGCGGUCAGGGCGGCUUGCAGAGGCCCGGGGCGGUUGGAUGCCGGAGAUGCUGGAGCUCUGAGCAAUUAACCAUCCGAGCACCCCAGGUGGCGUGGACUCACGCGGCUCUUCAACCAAAUACCUGCUUCUGGAGUUGCCCUGACUGGCCGUCUGAAAUUCAUGAUAAAAAAUGGAUGAAGGCCUGGUUUUCACAUUGUGGCCGAUGAAUGCUGUCCCAGUCUUGUUCUCCUGUCCGUUUACCGCUGACACAGCCCACAGGCCACAGGGCAUCGGCGUCUUGUGAGGGGUUACAGGGAACGUCUAAGGGAGACACAGGCUGGCCCAGCUGCCUCCCACCCUUCCUGGCCGGGCGUCCUGAGCCAACCGCCUCAGUGGGAGAAAAUCUUCACUCUGAAAACUCUCAGAGCCGCCACCUGCUCCCCGCUCCCGUCUGCCCUGGUUC
rnacentral:lncRNA from 1 species